rnacentral:rRNA from 1 species
GAGUUUGAUCAUGGCUCAGGAUGAACGCUGGCGGCGUGCUUAACACAUGCAAGUCGAACGAACCUUCGGGUUAGUGGCGGACGGGUGAGUAACGCGUGAGAAUCUGCCCUCAGGAGGGGGACAACAGCUGGAAACGGCUGCUAAUACCCCAUAUGCCGCGAGGUGAAAUGAAUUUCGCCUGAGGAUGAGCUCGCGUCUGAUUAGCUAGUUGGUGUAGGUAAUGGCUCACCAAGGCAUCGAUCAGUAGCUGGUCUGAGAGGAUGAUCAGCCACACUGGGACUGAGACACGGCCCAGACUCCUACGGGAGGCAGCAGUGGGGAAUUUUCCGCAAUGGGCGAAAGCCUGACGGAGCAACGCCGCGUGAGGGAUGAAGGCCUCUGGGCUGUAAACCUCUUUUAUCAAGGAAGAAGAUCUGACGGUACUUGAUGAAUAAGCCACGGCUAAUUCCGUGCCAGCAGCCGCGGUAAUACGGGAGUGGCAAGCGUUAUCCGGAAUUAUUGGGCGUAAAGCGUCCGCAGGCGGCCCUUCAAGUCUGCUGUUAAAAAGUGGAGCUUAACUCCAUCAUGGCAGUGGAAACUGUUGGGCUUGAGUGUGGUAGGGGCAGAGGGAAUUCCCGGUGUAGCGGUGAAAUGCGUAGAUAUCGGGAAGAACACCAGUGGCGAAGGCGCUCUGCUGGGCCAUCACUGACGCUCAUGGACGAAAGCCAGGGGAGCGAAAGGGAUUAGAUACCCCUGUAGUCCUGGCCGUAAACGAUGAACACUAGGUGUCGGGGGAAUCGACCCCCUCGGUGUCGUAGCCAACGCGUUAAGUGUUCCGCCUGGGGAGUACGCACGCAAGUGUGAAACUCAAAGGAAUUGACGGGGGCCCGCACAAGCGGUGGAGUAUGUGGUUUAAUUCGAUGCAACGCGAAGAACCUUACCAGGGUUUGACAUCCUGCGAAUCUCUUGGAAACAGGAGAGUGCCUUCGGGAACGCAGUGACAGGUGGUGCAUGGCUGUCGUCCGCUCGUGUCGUGAGAUGUUGGGUUAAGUCCCGCAACGAGCGCAACCCACGUCUUUAGUUGCCAGCAUUUAGUUGGGCACUCUAGGGAGACUGCCGGUGAUAAACCGGAGGAAGGUGUGGAUGACGUCAAGUCAUCAUGCCCCUUACAUCCUGGGCUACACACGUACUACAAUGCUACGGACAAAGGGCAGCAAGUUCGCGAGGACAAGCAAAUCCCAUAAACCGUGGCUCAGUUCAGAUCGUAGGCUGCAACUCGCCUACGUGAAGGCGGAAUCGCUAGUAAUCGCAGGUCAGCAUACUGCGGUGAAUACGU